rnacentral:rRNA from 1 species
GAUAAACGCUAGCUGGAGGCUUAAUACAUGCAAGUCGAGCGGGAUUGGUAGCAAUACCAUGAGAGCGGCGCACGGGUGAGUAACGCGUACACGACCUACCUCUGACAGGGGGAUAGCCCUGGGAAACUGGGAUCAAUACCGCAUAUUAUUCUGAUUAAUAAAGGAUUGGAAUGAAAGUUCAGGCGGACAGAGAUGGGUGUGCGUCUGAUUAGCUAGUUGGUGGGGUAACGGCCUACCAAGGCGAUGAUCAGUAGGGGGCGUGAGAGCGUGGUCCCCCACACGGGUACUGAGACACGGACCCGACUCCUACGGGAGGCAGCAGUAAGGAAUAUUGGACAAUGGCCGCAAGGCUGAUCCAGCCAUCCAGCGUGCAGGAAGAAGGCCCUAUGGGUUGUAAACUGCUUUUAUCAGGGAAGAAACCUCUGGAUUUACUCCGGAGCUGACGGUACCUGAAGAAUAAGCACCGGCUAACUCCGUGCCAGCAGCCGCAGUAA